AGUUUGACUGGGGCGGUCUCCUCCUAAAGAGUAACGGAGGAGCACGAAGGUUGGCUAAUCCUGGUCGGACAUCAGGAGGUUAGUGCAAUGGCAUAAGCCAGCUUGACUGCGAGCGUGACGGCGCGAGCAGGUGCGAAAGCAGGUCAUAGUGAUCCGGUGGUUCUGAAUGGAAGGGCCAUCGCUCAACGGAUAAAAGGUACUCCGGGGAUAACAGGCUGAUACCGCCCAAGAGUUCAUAUCGACGGCGGUGUUUGGCACCUCGAUGUCGGCUCAUCACAUCCUGGGGCUGAAGUAGGUCCCAAGGGUAUGGCUGUUCGCCAUUUAAAGUGGUACGCGAGCUGGGUUUAGAACGUCGUGAGACAGUUCGGUCCCUAUCUGCCGUGGGCGCUGGAGAAUUGAGGGGGGCUGCUCCUAGUACGAGAGGACCGGAGUGGACGCAUCACUGGUGUUCGGGUUGUCAUGCCAAUGGCAUUGCCCGGUAGCUACAUGCGGAAGAGAUAAGUGCUGAAAGCAUCUAAGCACGAAACUUGCCCCGAG
rnacentral:rRNA from 1 species